AAGACUAUAUUUCAGGGAUCAUUUCUAUAGUUUGUUACUAGAGAAGUUUCUCUGAACGUGUAGAGCAUCAAAAAAAAGAGGGACAAU
ensembl:snoRNA U3 Small nucleolar RNA U3